rnacentral:lncRNA from 1 species
CCCAAAGGCACAAUGAAGACCAGGGAGUUACAGAAAAUAGUUUACAAUUGUCGGAAAACUGAGAUGCAAGAACAAGACAGAAAGCUGAGUCUCGUAUCUUAUUCAGUGAAUACCUUUUUACAACAGCUUAACUGUCUAUUAUAUGCUUUUUCAGUGAAUACCUUUGUAAUACUCCUACAAAGAACCCAAAAACAACUCCAGCGAAUGUCGUAACUAUUAGCAAGUUUUUGUAAAUACGCUCUAGAAAAUAUCAACCACAGUAACAAUGUUUUUCCUCUUUCUUCCAAAGCACUGAUUAUUCUUUUGGCUAAAACAAACACUAUCAACAACUUUGCUUAAAAAAGCUACUCAAUUUUUAAUUUCUAGUACAAUUAUAAUUCUUGAGAUAAAUUUCAAAUACUUGGAUAAUAUCAAUUAUUUUUGGGUAUCAUUGAAUAGAAAAGAGUGUUAAACAUAUGUGCAAAAGGAAGAGACAGGUGUUUAAAGACGUGAAAUAAAGAGGACAAAAAGUUGGGAAUUAGGAUUGCAUGCACAUUGAAGAAACUAACAGAAUCAUAGAGGCACUAAAAACAGAAAGCCAAAGAGUAAAAAAUAAAAAUUUAUUCCAUAUAAAAAUCCAAAGCCAAAUCAAGUUAAUAAGUUCCUGCAAUAACUACAUAUAUCGAAUAUAGAAUACAAGAAUAAUAAGACACAAAACAAAUCAACGAGCUUACUUAUAAUAUGAGCUCCAGGUAUAAACAGAGACAUUACAUUACCUUACAAAUGUUGGUUGCCGUACUCUAAUUCCUUGCAGUUUUGGGGCCAAAUAACAACGUUAAUCUCUGGACAUGUUGCAUAGAUAACAUGACAAUUACAAUCCACUUAUGAAAGUGUUAAUUAAAAACCUUUUCAUGUAGUCACUUUAUCAAAGAUGUAGGUUCAACCUACAAAACUUAAAAAUUAAAAUGAAAGAUUCAACAGAAUAUGCCACAAAAUAAAAACUAAGGCAAUUCUUUUUCUUUAAUGCAUUCCAUCAAACACCUAGUGGGCUUCGUUAGAAACUAUUUCGUCUAAUUUUUUUUCAGUCCAGAAAAUACCAAAUUAGCCCCAAAAAAGAAAAGACUGCUGAAUAAUAUCAUCAAAAUGCAAAGUUCAUACGUUCAAGAUGCAUUCGGCAUAGACAUAAGCACUUGAAUGUACAUGAACAUUUAAUAGCUUGAGCUUUAGCAUGUCAGUAGAGAUAAUUUGAGAAACAACCAUGAAUCCAGCCCAAAAAUCAGAAAAAAAAGGAAAAAAUUGACAAAAUUUAGAAGACCUAACAACUUAAUCAAUUUAAAAUCUAUUUGCAAUCUCACGUAUUUCUCUGAGAAUCUAAAUUCAAAUCCACCAAAAUGGAAAUCGGUAGCAUAAUCUCAAAACAAAAAUCAACAUAUAUGAAAAUGAAUUUACUCGAUCUUCUAUUUUGAAAAGCAAUGCAAGUCCUAUGAACGGAAAAUUUACCUCAGAGCAGCGGCGGCUUGGCCUGGCUUUGAACACUAUUUGAACACUAUUUGAACGGAAAAUUUGCGCGUGCAUCGUCGUCGUAGUCGUCGUCAGUGUUCUAACGACAGCAAGAACACUAUUUGAACAACGGCAAAGAUGCGGGAUUGAUUUCUAGGGUUUGGCAAGCGUGUUGUUUCACAGUGUUAGUUGAUGAGUGGCAUGCGUUAUGUGGUGAGCAAUAAGUGAUUAAGUGAGUUCGGUGACAUGAGAAAUUUUU